rnacentral:rRNA from 1 species
AUUGAACGCUGGCGGCAGGCCUAACACAUGCAAAUCGAACGGUAACAGAAAGCAGCUUGCUGCUUUGCUGACGAGUGGCGGACGGGUGAGUAAUGUCUGGGAAACUGCCUGAUGGAGGGGGAUAACUACUGGAAACGGUAGCUAAUACCGCAUAACGUCGCAAGACCAAAGAGGGGGACCUUCGGGCCUCUUGCCAUCGGAUGUGCCCAGAUGGGAUUAGCUAGUAGGUGGGGUAACGGCUCACCUAGGCGACGAUCCCUAGCUGGUCUGAGAGGAUGACCAGCCACACUGGAACUGAGACACGGUCCAGACUCCUACGGGAGGCAGCAGUGGGGAAUAUUGCACAAUGGGCGCAAGCCUGAUGCAGCCAUGCCGCGUGUAUGAAGAAGGCCUUCGGGUUGUAAAGUACUUUCAGCGGGGAGGAAGGGAGUAAAGUUAAUACCUUUGCUCAUUGACGUUACCCGCAGAAGAAGCACCGGCUAACUCCGUG